CAUAAUUCUCUAUUUCACAUUUAGUCUGAAAUCUUCUCCAACUACCAAUCUUUUGGGUUUUCAAUUAACUAAUUAUUAUGCUUUUCUCAUCUAGAGGAUCUUUAUAUUUUGCAUGCUUUUCAUUUUAACCUUAUGUCUUUAAUUCAUUGAGGUUCUUAAUCCUGUUCUAAUUUGCUAAAAGUUCACUUUUCUUUUCUUUUUUUGGUCAACAGUGUCAUUUGCUCCAUAUAAGCUACUGCCCGCCAACUGAGGAGGAAAUUCCAGAAAACAAGAGCUUAGUUGUGGUGGCAUACAAUCCGCUUGGAUGGAUCCACACUGACAUUGUUAGGAUUCCGGUCAAUGAUGACCAUCAUGUUAUAAGAGAUCCUAGUGGCAAUGCCAUUGAGGCACAGUGUGGAGAUGGAUAAUGCUACUAUUAACUGAAGAAACUUCUACACUAAGGCUUACCUGGGAGUGUCAGCCAAAGAAAUCCCAAAAUAUUGGCUCUUGUUUCAAGUAUUUGUGCCACCACUUGGAUGGAGCACCUACUUUUUUUCUAAAGCUGGGAG